UACAGCCAUAUCACAUUAAAACACAGGUUUUCAUAUGAUCACCAAAGUUAAGCAAUGUUGAGCCUGAUCAGUACCUAGAUGGGUGGCCACUUGAGAAUACCAGGUGCUA